CUCUGCAGGGAGUAUCCAGACAUAAAGACACCUGUCCCUCACUGAAUGCUAUGACCGCAUGGGCUCAUUCUCAAACCAGCACUGACUGAGCGCUGAUUGCGUACAAGUCUACUAAUAACAAUGGCUGCCAGAAUUUCACACAAGCAUUUGUUUGGAAACCAUCCAACUCUGUCUGCAGGACAUGUUGAUUAAAGAAUCACAAAGGAUUUCACUGGUGGGGAAU